rnacentral:misc_RNA from 1 species
CUCAACAAUGACGUCGGCGACAAAAUAUUGAUUGUGCAGUACAUACUAUUGAUACAGGCGAUACAUAUAAUAUUAAUUUAGACAUUGAGAUUCCUCAUGAAAUGUCUAAUGACAAUAUUCUUAUUGAAGAGAAUAGUAACAAUUAUUUGAAUAAUAAUAAUAUAUAUAUGUAUGGAGAUGUCGAAGAAUGCAAUCAAAGAAUUGAUUCUUAUUCAAAUUGUAGUUAUUCAGAAUCUGAUAUGGAAUUGAUUGCCGAAUGCAAUAAUCAAUGUUAUAAAGAUUUGAGUUUUAAUGUACAGAAAGAACUUGCAUUAUACAAAUUUCUUCGGACAUGGAGUCUUGAGUAUAACAUUACUCAUGUGGCUCUAACAAAAUUGCUUCAAGGUCUCAAAAUCAAUGGAUAUGAAAAGCUUCCUUGUAAUGCGAGAACUUUAUUGGGAACUCCGAGAACAACAUCAAUAAUUAAGAAUCAUUCUGGUACUUUUUAUUAUCAUGGAUUGCAGACAGCAUUGAAGAAUCAUUUACGAUAUAAUAAACCUCUCCAUGAACGUUGUGAAAAUGAAAUUAAAAUCAACUUAAGCAUUGACGGACUACCAUUGGCAAAGAGUUCUAAAUCGCAAUUUUGGCCACUUUUAGGGCAAAUUGUCCACGUUCAUUAUAGAGAAAAACCUUUUGUCAUUGGAGUAUUCCACGGAUAUUGUAAGCCGAAGAAACCGAAUGAGAUUAUUCAUCAAUUUAUUGAAGAAUAUAGUGAAAUUCAAAAUAAAGGAUUCCAAUAUCGAGGAAAAAAAUACAAAGUUUUAAUAAAUGCUAUAAUAUGCGACGCCCCGGCAAAAGCAUUCAUGAAAUGUAUUAAAAGUCAUACAGGAUAUUAUGGAUGCGAUAAAUGUGAAGAGGAAGGUGAAUGGAGGAACAAUCGAAUGUUAUUCCUUAAUGAAAAUGCUCCAUUACGCACAGAUGCAAAAUUUUUAUUACGACAUAAUGAAGAUCAUCAUGUGGAUAAUUCACCUUUUGAAAACAUUGGAUUGAAAAUGGUAACACAGUUCCCAUUAGAUUAUAUGCAUCUUGUUUGUCUCGGUGUCAUGAAAAGACUUAUAAAUAUGUGGAUCCGAGGAAUAAAGGGCAUUAAACUGCGUGCUUCUCAAAUUGAUCAAUUAUCUAUAGAUUUAAAGCAGUUAAUAACAUACAUACCUAGAGAAUUUUCUAGGAAACCAAGAGGUUUAGAUGAAUUAGAUCGCUGGAAAGUGACAGAAUUUAGACUGUUUCUCUUAUAUACUAGUCUAUCAAUUUUAUGGUCAUAUUUGCCAAAUGAUUAUUUGAGACAUUUUUAUGUUCUACAUUGUGCAAUUUAUAUUCUUUGUAAUCCUGCCGAUUGCGAAUACAAUAACGAAUAUGCACAUGAAUUAUUAGUACAUUUUGUACAAACAUUUAAAAUGUUAUAUUCUGAGAACUACGUUACAUACAAUGUACAUAACUUGGUUCAUUUACAUGUUGAUGUUAAGAAUCAUGGGUGUCUGGACAUGUUCAGUGCUUUUCCAUUCGAAAAUUAUUUUCAAGAAAUGAAACGAAUGCUACGAAAAAAUGCACAACCGUUACAACAAUUGCACAGACGAUUAAUGGAAAAAUGUCAAACUGUAAGAAAUAUUGGGUAUAAACCUGAAGAAUAUCCCAUUCUUCAAAAUGCCAAGAACGAAGAAUUAUUGUUUGGAUGUACACAAUCUCAUAAAGAAAUAAUAUUUGAAAAAUUUACACUAUCCUGCAUCAAAGAAGCCGAUUUUUAUUGUUAUAUGAAUAACAGAAAUGUUCUCAUGAUUGAAUAUAUUGGAAAAAAGAAUGGAGAAACAGUAAUACUUGGAAAAAAGUUAAAAAAUUUCGAUAAUAUAUCUUCAUAUCCAUGUGAUUCGCGAAAUUUGAAAAUCUAUGUCGGAAAUGAAUGGUCUGAAAUUGGAAUGUAUCCAAUAAGUCAAAUAAGCGCAAAAGCAAUGCGACUUCCUUACAAAGAUACAUUUUGUAUAAUUCCUAUUCUACAUACUAAUGAUUGAAAUGUAUUACGUCGUAUUUUGGGACGAAUACUGCCAAGUCGUUCCCGAUUCUUGGGACCUUACAAUACAUUUGAUAAGGCUCGGGAAGCAGAAAAAUCUUGUAUUGAUAUAUCC